UCCGUAUUUUUGCGUUCAUGUGGAAUGGCUGCUCCGGGACUCCGUAGAGAAGCUGGUGGUUUGUUGACAUUUUUCUCCAUCAGCUGAGUGGCCAGAAGUUAGCCGUCGAGUUUCCGAGCAGCUCAGAACAAAUCAACACCUCAGCUUUAUUUUUACCUGCUGACGCUGUCAUUCAGCUGUCACAAACCACAAACACUUCACUCAUGUUUUACACAACCAGCGGCGCUACACAGAAAACCAAGGGUUACUGCGACCGUUAGCUACAUAUAGCUAGUGUUCGGCUGCAGCUAGCCUGGCUACGGAAAAGGCUAGCGACUUUAGCCGAUGUGAAGCGAAGACAUGGAGGGGAUACUUUACAAAUGGACGAACUACAUGACAGGAUGGCAGCCUCGCUGGUUUGUCUUAGAGAACGGAGUGAUCUCUUAUUAUGACAGCGAGGACGAUGUUGGCAAAGGAAGCAAAGGAUCCAUCAAGAUGUCUGUAUGUGACAUUAAAGUUCAUCCAACAGAUACGACCCGUCUAGAGUUGAUAAUCCCCGGCGAACAGCAUUUCUACGUACGAGCUGUGAAUGCUGCAGAGAGGCAGAGGUGGCUUGUGGCUUUGGGGUCAUCCAAAGCUGGGACACUGGACAGUAACAAACACAAAGGUCCAGACUGUCUGAAGACAAAAAUGUCUGAACUCCGCCUGUACUGUGACCUCCUCGUCCAGCAGGUCCAAACUAUCCAAUCACAGUACAGCGCUGACUCAGAGACCACGCCGACUUCUGAAGCGUCGCUGCUCAGUGCCACAUGUGCCACUUUCAUCAGGACUCUGGAGGAGUGUAUGACCCUGGCCAACCACAGUUUGACUCCUGACCUCCGACCUCCUGAAAGGAUGAAGCGGUCAAUCAGUCACCCUGGAACAUACAGCUUUGACAGGUCAGGUGUACUGAAGGAGUACGUGAGUGGAGGUCAGAGGUCAGCUCAGCGGAGAAACCGUACAAACUCUGACAGCUCUGUUUACGAUACUGAACGUUUGCUGCCCACUCUCAACGGUGACUCGUCCUCCAUUCCCGAGGAGAGGGCAGGCAGCGUGAGCCCAAAGACCACGCCCACUGACACAGACACUGACCUUUCCAUCUGAAGACCCCAAGAUGCCCAUCCAAACCCUGAGAAACUCUGGAAGAUGUCACAAACGCCACCAGAUCAUUAUUUGCUGAGAUACUGACACCAUUACACCAAGGAUGAACAUUUUCGCUGUAGGAACGUCCUUCACGAGCUUUUUCUCAGCUAAUUGCCAAACACAAGCACUUUGGAGUCGUUAGCGUUCAUUUCUUGAAGUCUUUCAGUUGCACAGUAUACACUAGACUGACAGCAGUUCAGUCCCAAGCUGAAGUUCAAGACAUCGAGAGUAUGAAUUAUAUGAAGCUUUAACCUGAUGAGCAUAUAUCAAGACGCACUCACCUGACGCUCAUUUGCACAAACACACGCAGGUGUGUGAAGCAGAAGUAUCCCGGACCUGAGGGAGAGAACGGGGAAGCAUGGACGAGUCUGGAGGACGUCACUCAGAUUCUGAGCAAAACACUGAGGACCAUCAAGCACAUCGUCAAAAACAAUCAAAGUCCAAAUUGAGCCCAGAACUCCAGAGUUUAUCUCGCUGCCCUGACUGCUACAACCACAAGGCACACUUCAGGUCUCGGUGGGGGGGCAAGAGUGAGUCCAGCUCAUCUGAUGAAGACUUUGGAUCAGAGGUUAACUCCGACUCAGAAGCAGAGUCCAGUUCCAGCAGCAGCUGCUUUACUGGGAACAUCGUAGAAGAGACACCAGUGAGGCCUGUAUGUGAAGACACUGCUGAGCCUGAUUCUGGAGGGCAGGAUGUUGACAGGCAAGCGGAGACAUCCGAGACUCCAGAGGAUAAGGAAAAGAUAAAGGAGAUGCUCAAAAGACCUCAGCUAAUCAAGUCUUAUUCUUUGCCCGCCUUCAAAACUCCUCACCUCACUCCUCUCAAUCUCCUGCCCCGCCCUCGUCAAGUCACCUCCACCCUUCACCUCCAGGUGCUACUCCAAAAACACAAGAAUGACACCACCUACACCAUCCGCCGACCAGAGAGAAGGGGAACCUUAAGAAGAGGAGGAACAGUAAUAGGCCCUCCCUCUGUACCAUUUCCAUGGCAGCGGCAGCCACCACAUCUUCAGCCUGACUAUAUUCCUCCUCUCAAACCUCAGGGUCAAUAUAUACCUCCACCUCUGUACACAGUUCCUAUGAUAUAUGCACCUGUAUCCUACACACAGCUGCAAACACUUACUGCACAACCAUGCCGGUGCUAUUACUGUAUGUACUUUCCUCACACACACUGGAGUCAUUACAGCAGUACACAGCUGCCCUGAUAAUAAAGUGCCCUGCAGUGUUGUAUAUAGCCCUUAAGCAUGUGAAAAACCCAAUAAAGAAAUGUGAAUAUAA